GGUUAAGCGACUAAGCGUACACGGUGGAUGCCCUGGCAGUCAGAGGCGAUGAAGGACGUGCUAAUCUGCGAUAAGCGUCGGUAAGGUGAUAUGAACCGUUAUAACCGGCGAUUUCCGAAUGGGGAAACCCAGUGUGAUUCGUCACACUAUCAUUAACUGAAUCCAUAGGUAAAUGAGGCGAACCGGGGGAACUGAAACAUCUAAGUACCCCGAGGAAAAGAAAUCAACCGAGAUUCCCCCAGUAGCGGCGAGCGAACGGGGAGCAGCCCAGAGCCUGAAUCAG
rnacentral:rRNA from 1 species